GACGAUAGAGGUGCGUUAAUCAUUAGUAUACUUAUGGAUGCAUUCAGGUGCACAUGAAGUAAGUUGAAAGGGAGGUACGCCGAAGGGGAAAGGGCCUGUAGCUUUUCUUACUGGUUAUGAAGUUAAGAGCUUUAUGACUGUCAUCAUUUUUAUGAUGGAGUGCUAUCAG
rnacentral:ncRNA from 1 species